UAACACAUGCAAGUCGAACGAGAGAUGAGGAGCUUGCUCUUCAAAUCGAGUGGCGAACGGGUGAGUAACGCGUGAGGAACCUGCCUCAAAGAGGGGGACAACAGUUGGAAACGACUGCUAAUACCGCAUAAGCCCACGGCUCGGCAUCGAGCAGAGGGAAAAGGAGCAAUCCGCUUUGAGAUGGCCUCGCGUCCGGUUAGCUAGUUGGUGAGGUAAUGGCCCACCAAGGCGACGAUCGGUAGCCGGACUGAGAGGUUGAACGGCCACAUUGGGACUGAGACACGGCCCAGACUCCUACGGGAGGCAGCAGUGGGGAAUAUUGCACAAUGGGGGAAACCCUGAUGCAGCGACGCCGCGUGGAGGAAGAAGGUCUUCGGAUUGUAAACUCCUGUUGUUGAGGAAGAUAAUGACGGUACUCAACAAGGAAGUGACGGCUAACUACGUGCCAGCAGCCGCGGUAAAACGUAGGUCACAAGCGUUGUCCGGAAUUACUGGGUGUAAAGGGAGCGCAGGCGGGAGAACAAGUUGGAAGUGAAAUCCAUGGGCUCAACCCAUGAACUGCUUUCAAAACUGUUUUUCUUGAGUAGUGCAGAGGUAGGCGGAAUUCCCGGUGUAGCGGUGGAAUGCGUAGAUAUCGGGAGGAACACCAGUGGCGAAGGCGGCCUACUGGGCACCAACUGACGCUGAGGCUCGAAAGUGUGGGUAGCAAACAGGAUUAGAUACCCUGGUAGUCCACACCGUAAACGAUGAUUACUAGGUGUUGGAGGAUUGACCCCUUCAGUGCCGCAGUUAACACAAUAAGUAAUCCACCUGGGGAGUACGACCGCAAGGUUGCAACUCAAAGGAAUUGACGG
rnacentral:rRNA from 1 species